rnacentral:rRNA from 1 species
CCUACGGGUGGCUGCAGUGGGGAAUAUUGCACAAUGGGGGAAACCCUGAUGCAUCGACGCCGCGUGAGUGAAGAAGUAUUUCGGUAUGUAAAGCUCUAUCAGCAGGGAAGAAAAUGACGGUACCUGAUUAAGAAGCCCCGGCUAACUACGUUCCAGCAGCCGCGGUAAUACGGAGGAUGCGAGCGUUAUCCGGAUUUAUUGGGUUUAAAGGGUGCGCAGGCGGCGAGUUAAGUCAGCGGUAAAAUUUCGGGGCUCAACCCCGACAAGCCGUUGAAACUGGCUUGCUAGAGUGGGCGAGAGGUAUGCGGAAUGCGUGGUGUAGCGGUGAAAUGCAUAGAUAUCACGCAGAACUCCGAUUGCGAAGGCAGCAUACCGGCGCCCAACUGACGCUCAGGCACGAAAGCGUGGGUAUCGAACAGGAUUAGAUACCCUGGUAGUC